AAGUUGUGACAAGGGGUAUUAUUAAAUAAAUGUUCACUUCUUUCUACUCCUUUCCAAACAGAAACGUAGAGGUAAACUAAUUAUUUUGUUCUUGGUUAUGUAUGCACAUGUUUUUUCUGUCCUUUUGAUUGCUUUUAUUCUUGUUUUUAAAAACCUGUUUUAAAUAAAUAAAUCAAAAAGGGGGUCCAACCAGAAACAAGCAAGGUGUGACCAAUAAAGUGACGGUAUUUCCAAAAGUAAUGACCCAUCCAGCUUCACCCUACUAUGCGUUUCUCGUCCAGGAAGUGGUGCCACUCCUCUCCCCACCUUCCUGUUUCUCCAAUGAAAUCCCAGACCAGUCUGUGAUCAGAUACCUAAUUAUAACCAACAAUGUUGUCAUCGAUACAGGGAACUUUCAGUGCAGGAUGCUUAGUCAUGGCAGCAGCGGUGUCAGCAGGAAAACAUCUAAUAUCCUCCUAAAAUCCAAGUCGCAGCGCUGCAAACGAUCACCAGUUCGAUCAGAAGUGACAGCAUCGGGAACUGUUUGAGAAUCUCCCAUAAGCUUUCAGACUGACUCCUCAGGAUGCUGCUUGGCCACCAAGGAGGUGACGUGCUCAGAUGAAAGGAAACAGGAUUUCAAACUUCAGGAACAACCAGAAAACCACCGAGGCAGAAGCUGCCAUGACCUGCUGGAACACCAGCGUCUCUGUCCGCAGAUUUAAAUGGGGAGGAAGAAACCCAGGCUGCGGAAACCUUCCAGCCCGACUGAAAUUUGCAGCUGUUCACAUGUUAUUUUGGCGACACAACAACUUUCCCAGUAGUUCUGUAUACUUCCUGGUACUCACAUUUCCUGUAAACCUGACGAGACUUUCGACCCGCCC